GAAAUCUUCUAGCUCACGCUGCACAUGAUGCCGUGUAACACGAGAUCUCAGGAAAGACAUGACAUAUUUGGUAUAGCGAAAAGAGAUUCUGGGAGAGCUGUGCAAA